rnacentral:tRNA from 1 species
GCGAGGAUGGCGGAAUUGGCAGACGCACUAGAUUCAGGUUCUAGCGACCGAAAGGUUGUGGGGGUUCAAGUCCCCCUCCUCGCA